UACGGAGGGUGCAAGCGUUAUCCGGAUUCACUGGGUUUAAGGGGUGCGUAGGUGGGCAGGUAAGUCAGUGGUGAAAUCUCCGGGCUUAACCCGGAAACUGCCGUUGAUACUAUUUGUCUUGAAUAUUGUGGAGGUAAGCGGAAUAUGUCAUGUAGCGGUGAAAUGCUUAGAUAUGACAUAGAACACCAAUUGCGAAGGCAGCUUACUACACAACGAUUGACGCUGAGGCACGAAAGCGUGGGGAUCAAACAGG
rnacentral:rRNA from 1 species